AUUGAACGCUGGCGGCAUGCCUUACACAUGCAAGUCGAACGGCAGCACGGGGCAACCUGGUGGCGAGUGGCGAACGGGUGAGUAAUGCAUCGGAACGUACCUUUCAGUGGGGGAUAACGUAGCGAAAGUUACGCUAAUACCGCAUAUUCUGUGAGCAGGAAAGCAGGGGAUCGCAAGACCUUGCGCUGAUUGAGCGGCCGAUGUCAGAUUAGCUAGUUGGUGAGGUAAAGGCUCAUCAAGGCGACGAUCUGUAGCGGGUGUGAGAGGAUGAUCCGCCACACUGGAACUGCGCCACGGGCCAGACUCCUACGGGAGGCAGCAGUGGGGAAGUUUGGACAAGGUGGGCAACCUUGAACCAGCAGUGCCGCGUGAGUGAAGAAGGCCUUCGGGUUGUAAAGCUCUUACGGCCGGGAAGAAAUCGCACGGGCUAAUACCCUGUGUGGAUGACGGUACCGGAAUAAGAAGCACCGGCUAACUACGUGCCAGCCGCCGCAGUAAAAC
rnacentral:rRNA from 1 species